rnacentral:rRNA from 1 species
CAGCAGCCACGGUAACACCAGCACCUCGAGUGGUCAGGAGGUUUAUUGGGCCUAAAGCAUCCGUAGCCGGUUGCAUAAGUUUUCGGUUAAAUCUAUGCGCUUAACGUAUAGGCCGCCGAAAAUACUGUGCAGCUAGGGAGUGGGAGAGGUACACGGUACUCGAUAGGAAGGGGUAAAAUCCUUUGAUCUAUUGAUGACACCUGUGGCGAAGGCGGUGUACCAGAACACGUUCGACGGUGAGGGAUGAAAGCUGGGGGAGCAAACCGGAUUAGAUACCCCGGUAGUCCCUGUCUCUUAUACA